rnacentral:tRNA from 1 species
GUUAUUUUGGCAGAUAAAUGCAUUAAAUUUAGAAUUUAAUUAUGUAAUUAUAAUUACAUGUAACU